rnacentral:pre_miRNA from 12 species
CUCUUCAGUGAGAUCCUCUUCUUCUGGAAGCUGGUUUCACAUGGUGGCUUAGAUUUUUCCAUCUUUGUAUCUAGCACCAUUUGAAAUCAGUGUUUUAGGAGUAAGAAUUGCAGCGCAGCAGAGG